rnacentral:rRNA from 1 species
AUGGGGGAAUAUUUCCGCGAUAAUUUAACGCAAGAAUUAAUUAUAUAUGAUGAUCUAAGUAAACAAGCGGUGGCAUAUCGACAAAUGUCAUAAUUGUUACACCGACCACCAGGCUGCGAGGCUUUCCCAGGGGAUGUUUUCUAUUUACAUUCUCGUCUCUUAGAAAGAGACACUAAAUGAUCGGACCAGGCAGGUGCAGGUAGCUCGACUGCGUUACCCGUGAUUGAAACACAAGCUCGAGACGUAUCGGCAUAUAUCCCCACCAAUGUGAUCACCAUUACAGAUGGACAAAUCUAUUUGGAAACAAAGCUCUUUUAUCGUGGAACUAGACCAGCUAUUAACGUUGGCUUAUCCGUCAGUUGCGUCAGGUAUGUUGCUUAGUUGAAAGCUAUGAAACAAGUUUGCGAUAGUUCAAAACUGGAAUUGGCAAAAUAUCGCGAAGUGGCCGCCUUCGCUCAAUUUGGGUCAAACCUUGAUGUUGCGACUCAGGCAUUACUCAAUAGAGGUGAAAGGCUUACAGAAGUGCCCAAACAACCACAAUAUGAACCACUUCCAAUUGAAAAAAAAUUGUUGUAA